rnacentral:rRNA from 1 species
GGGUUUCCACCUUUUAGUGGUGAAGUUAACGCCUUAAGCAAUCCUCCUGGGGAGUACGGCCGCAAGGGUGAAAAUCAAAGGAAUUGACGGGGGUCCGCACAAGCGGGUGAGCAUGUGGUUUAAUUUGAAGCAACGGGAAGAACCUUACCCGGUUUUGACAUCCUUUGACAACCCUAGAGAUAGGGGUUUUCCUUUGGGAGCAGAGUGACAGGUGGUGCAUGGUUGUUGUCAGCUUGUGUUGUGAGAUGUUGGGUUAAGUCCCGCAACGAGGGCAACCCUUGAUUUUAGUUGCCCUCAUUUAGUUGGGCACUUUAAGGUGACUGCCGGUGACAAACCGGAGGAAGGGGGGGGUGACGUCAAAUCCUCCUGCCCCUUAUGACCUGGGGUACCCACGUGGUUCAAUGGGCGGUACAAAGAGGUGCAAGACCGCGAGGUGGAGGUAAUCUUAUAAAACCGUUUUCAGUUUGGAUUGUAGGGUGCAAAUUGCCUACCUGAAGGUGGAAUUGGUUGUAAUUGCGGAUCAGCAUGCCGCGGUGAAUACGUUCCCGGGCCUUGUACACACCGCCCGUCACACCCCGAGAGUUUGUAACACCCGAAGUCGGUGGGGUAACCUUUUUGGAGCCAGCCGCUAAGGGACAGAU